rnacentral:rRNA from 1 species
AUACGGAGGGUGCGAGCGUUGUUCGGAAUUAUUGGGCGUAAAGAGCAUGUAGGCGGUCUGUUAAGUCUGGUGUGAAAGCCCGGGGCUCAACCCCGGAAGUGCAUUGGAUACUGGCAGACUUGAGUAUGGGAGAGGAAAGCGGAAUUCCGAGUGUAGGAGUGAAAUCCGUAGAUAUUCGGAGGAACACCAGUGGCGAAGGCGGCUUUCUGGACCAAUACUGACGCUGAGAUGCGAAAGCGUGGGGAGCAAACAGGAUUAGAUACCCCAGUAGUCC